rnacentral:rRNA from 1 species
UACGGAGGGUGCGAGCGUUGUCCGGAAUCACUGGGCGUAAAGGGCGCGUAGGCGGCCUGAUAAGUAGGGGGUGAAAUCCUGCGGCUUAACCGCAGGGCUGCCUUCUAAACUGUCAGGCUGGAGCACAGUAGAGGCAGGUGGAAUUUCCGGUGUAGCGGUGGAAUGCGUAGAGAUCGGGAAGAACAUCAGUGGCGAAGGCGGCCUGCUGGGCUGUUGCUGACGCUGAGGCGCGACAGCGUGGGGAGCAAACAGG